rnacentral:rRNA from 1 species
GGGUAAUCUUUUGAAACUUCAUCGUGCUGGGGAUAGAGCAUUGCAACUAUUGCUCUUGAACGAGGAAUCCCUAGUAAGUACAAGUCACUAGCUUGUGCUGAUUACGUCCCUGCCCUUUGUACACACCGCCCGUCGCUACUACCGAUUGAAUGGCUUAGUGAGGCCCUCGGAUUGAGGCUCGGAGUUUGGCAACAGACUCUUGGUUUUGAAAAGUUGGUCAAACUUGGUCAUUUAGAGGAAGUAAAAGUCGUAACAAGGUUUCCGUAGGUGAACCUGCGGAAGGAUCAUU